AAACUUUCAACAACGGAUCUCUUGGUUCUAGCAUCGAUGAAGAACGCAGCGAAAUGCGAUAAGUAAUGUGAAUUGCAGAAUUCAGUGAAUCAUCGAAUCUUUGAACGCACAUUGCGCCCGCUAGUAUCCUGGCGGGCAUGCCUGUUCGAGCGUCAUUU
rnacentral:rRNA from 2 species